UCAAUCAAAAAGGAGAUCAGAAAUCCUAAAAUCAAUGUUGUCAUUUAUGUAUGCCCAUUUGGCCUUCUUUCAUCAAGGAUAUGAUCUGUUUAGUGAACUUGGACCCUACAUGAAGGAUCUUGGUGCACAGUUGGAUCGACUGGUUGUGGAUGCAGCAAAGGAGAAAAGAGAAAUGGAACAAAAACAUUCCACCAUUCAACAAAAGGUACUUCAGGGGAAAAAUUAAAAAUUAAUUCCACUUUAUACAAUGGCUUGGUUGUUGGUUUAUGCAAGGUAUCAUUGUAUCGGGACAAAUCUUUUGAGUUGUUCUAAUAAUUGUGCAGAUAAACUCCUCUUCUGUUUUUGAAGAGCAAAAUGUUCUUCAGAUUUUAAGGUAUGUAUUUUGUUAUUUUUUCAGAUCUUUGAAAGCUAUGCUUCUUGAACCAGUUGAUAAAAAUUUGAAUCUCUUAGGGCCUUAACUAAGCUAAAAGUGGCCUUUAGUUAAUUCAAAACACUAUUCAUAAUUACAUUUAGGAUACCACCAACUCCCUGUAAAAGUGUGUGUCUGUGUGUGUGUUGCGGGGCAGGGGGUGUGGAUGCACCUUAGUGUCAACAUGCAUGUUUGGUCUUACAGACUUUCCAACUGCAGUCACUGCAAGGCAGCCUUUCCUCUCUGUCACGAGAUGCUAAAACUUCACUUGCAUUGCCUGUUAAAUUGUCUAAGCCUGGCUAAGCUUACUUUGAAAAUAUUUUUAAAAAUGAAAACUCAAAUAUUAA
rnacentral:sRNA from 1 species